CUGGAGCACACCUGCUGCUCCUGGGAACGGCUGAGAGAACCAACUUCUUACCUAGUGUCACAUUUACCCUUGAUAAAGAUCACCUGCACAACCUUCCCUGCUCACGGCUACAAGUUCUUUGUCUGCUUUCCUUUCCUAAGGUACUGGGCUUGUCCUGUGAGACUGCUGGGGUGCACUGAAGCUGCCAGUAAGACUCCUCCCUCGGAAUCUCCUUCAUCACCAUGGCAACAGCCUUAUCUGCCGCCCUAGAGCCUUUCCCCUACAACAGCGAAAUCAACAAUGGCGCGAGUCAGCAGCGAGCCUGGCAACGACCCCUUCCCACAAACACACCCCAGAACCAGCCGUCCUUAAACUGACGGCGCUUAUGGCUGGAAGCAAAGCUUGGUUGAAAGCAGAAUACACAAACACUCUUGUAAUAAUAAUAAUAAUAAUUAUAUAUUUUCUGUGAACCUGUUAAUUGAUAAUGUGGUUGGGGUCUAGCCAUAGUCUCGUGACUCCUUAGAGUUGCCCCAAUGAAGUCAACAGGAAUAUGGCACUGCCUUGCUGAUGCAAGACCAUCUGGAAAUACUCCAGUGUGAAUGGAAGGUUUUGGACCUUCUGCAUGAUCAGACUGCUCUAAGUUCUGGAGCAUCAUCCCCAUGAUUUAAUUUUAGUUACCCAGAAGUUGUUCUCUGAAAUUCUUUGCUUAGAAACAGCAUAAAACUGAUUCUGCAAGUAAAGGACAGUUCCUUGCAGUUCACUGAGGCAAACACUAUAUGAAAUUUGAAUGUAUAACUUGAGGGGCUGGGCCCAGAGUGUUUAUACCUCUAGUACCAUUUUGAAAGGCAAUUUAUAUCAUAUAAACAGUCUGGGGUUUUGCUAAUAUGUGGAGCCAAAUUCUGCCAUCGCAGGCAUUGCUACAUUUCUCCCCAAAGUGGUCAUUGUUGUUGAACUUACUGUUGUAGAGAUAUAUAUUUUUAUAAUAUCUCUUUUUUUAUAACAUUUAUUUAAUCUAUUGUAGAUAUCCAAGACAAAGUUAAAAUGUUUUAACAUAAUGAAGUUAAAAUCUUUUAAUUUAAUAUUUUAACCAAACAAAAAAUGCACUAACGUUGUGUGCCAUACUCUUUAUUUAAAGAGAAUUGUUAUUGAAUUCACUUGGAUUUCUGUAUUUUGAUCUCUCUUGCUCUUGCAAGUGACAGAUAAAGUCUGAGCAUACACAUAAAGGGUAGCAGCAGUACUGUAUUCUGUCAGUGACUCUGGGCAUAUCUUUGCUACUGUACUUUAAAAGCUCUCAUUCAUUUCAGUGGAAGUUUUAGCUGUGCAAAGACUGCAGGAUCUGGCUCCAUAAAAGCAGCAUUUUACUCUAGACUUAAAUAUAUUUAAAUACUUAAAUCUAUCAACAGAAGGGGGUUCUUUACUCCCACAUCAGGUACUAGAAUUAGUUUCACUAGAACUGUACCGGUGUCCAAUAAAACCCCCACUGUUGCUCAUACUGAA